rnacentral:rRNA from 1 species
CCAAUAGCGUAUAUUAAAGUUGUUGCAGUUAAAAAGCUCGUAGUUGAAUUUUGGAUUCUACCAAUUGGUCCAUCUUUUAGAUGAGUACUGGUUGUGUGGGGUCUAUCCGCCUGGUGAUACGUAAUGUCCUUUAUUGGAUGUUGCGGGUAGUCAGGACCUUUACCUUGAAAAAAUUAGAGUGUUUAAAGCAGGCUUAUGCCGGAAUACAUUAGCAUGGAAUAAUAGAAUAGGACGAAGUUGUUUUAUUUUGUUGGUUUCUAGGACAACCGUAAUGAUUAAUAGGGAUAGUUGGGGGAAUUAGUAUUCAAUUGUCAGAGGUGAAAUUCUUGGAUUUAUUGAAGACUAACUACUGCGAAAGCAUUUGCCAAGGAUGUUUUCAUUAAUCAAGAACGAAAGUUAGGGGAUCGAAGACGAUCAGAUACCGUCGUAGUCUUGACCAUAAACUAUGCCGACUAGGGAUCGGGCGAUGUUGUUUCCAUGACUCGCUCGGCACCUUAUG